rnacentral:rRNA from 1 species
AUGAACGCUGGCGGCGUGCUUAACACAUGCAAGUCGAACGAUUAAAGCUCACUUCGGUGAGUGUAUAGAGUGGCGAACGGGUGAGUAACACGUGGGAAACCUGCCCCUUUCUUCGGGAUAACUUCGGGAAACCGUUGCUAAUACCGGAUACUCCGGGAUGGUCGCAUGGCCGACCCGGGAAAGCUUUAUGUGGAAAGGGAUGGUCCCGCGGCCCAUUAGCUUGUUGGUGGGGUAAUGGCCUACCAAGGCAACGAUGGGUAGCCG